UGGGGAAUUUUGGACAAUGGGCGCAAGCCUGAUCCAGCCAUGCCGCGUGCGGGAAGAAGGCCUUCGGGUUGUAAACCGCUUUUGUCAGGGAAGAAAUCUUCUGAGUUAAUACCUCGGGAGGAUGACGGUACCUGAAGAAUAAGCACCGGCUAACUACGUGCCAGCAGCCGCGGUAAUACGUAGGGUGCAAGCGUUAAUCGGAAUUACUGGGCGUAAAGCGUGCGCAGGCGGUUUUGUAAGACAGAGGUGAAAUCCCCGGGCUCAACCUGGGAACUGCCUUUGUGACUGCAAGGCUUGAGUGCGGCAGAGGGGGGAUGGAAUUCCGCGUGUAGCAGUGAAAUGCGUAGAUAUGCGGAGGAACACCGAUGGCGAAGGCAAUCCCCUGGGCCUGCACUGACGCUCAUGCACGAAAGCGUGGGGAGCAAACAGGAUUAGAUACCCUGGUAGUCCACGCCCUAAACGAUGUCAACUGGUUGUUGGGAAGGUUCCUUCUCAGUAACGUAGCUAACGCGUGAAGUUGACCGCCUGGGGAGUACGGCCGCAAGGUUGAAAC
rnacentral:rRNA from 1 species